UGACGCAGCCGCGGCUUAUGGGAUGCGCUGUCCCUGCUGCACUGCACACAUCCACACGUGCCGAAAGCAAAAGAAAACAUAAACGCGUUGAGUCCCCUCCCUUUUGCCUGCGCUCAUCUCCACAACACUGUCCCGUGGCAUAUUUCUUUUACCGGGAGCUCCAGCAACAAUGGAAGAAGAAGCGCGCCUGCUGGCCACCGAGCCGUACAGCGCCGCUGAGCUGCAAGCGGGAUUUGUCGGCUGUUCCCCCCGAGAGGCGUACGUGAUGAUCUGUCGUCGACUUCGCUGCACCCCGCUUUCAUCCGCCGCUGUGAUGUUCCCUGACGUCGCGGGUACCUGGGACGCGGUGACCACGCUGGAUUUCUCUCGCACGUAUGUCGGCUCGCACGGGGCGCUGCCGGUGAUUGAGCUCUGCCGUUGCCUGCCCCGUCUGCAGUCGCUUGUGUUUUGCGACAACUACCUGAGCAACGAUACGGUGUGGUACCUAGUGCAGAUGGCCCUGUUCCACCCAUCCUUAGAACGAGUCGAUCUCUCUGCCAACGAGUACAUCUCGUGGAGCGGCGCCAUGUGCCUCGUAGAGCUGGUGCUGCGCAACCCGCGCAUCAUCUACGUUGGGCUGCGAGGGUCUGCAGUGUCGACGGAGAUAGCGCGCUGCAUUGAAGCGCAGACGCGGCAGAAUGCCGUCAGCCGCUUCCGAAGCGAAGGCAUGAAGCGAUCUCCGCCGGUGCAUCCGGCUGCCGUGUACAUCCGUUCUUUGAAGCACCUGUUUGAGACGCACCAGCAGCAUGGGCAGGUGAGCGCGUCCCUGCUUGACAGCGGCUUCGAAGAGCUCUUGCGCGUCUCUGGACGCACCGGCGAGCUUCACCUCUUCACUGAGAAGCACUUUUCGAAGCUCAAGGCACGCGCCCCUCCUGGCGGUCUCACCUGCGAGGCGUUCCUGGUUCUGCUCUUGAUCGACGGCAGCACCUACGACGAGACCACCGUAGCCACGCUGAAGCGCGUCUUUACAAUGUUCAACAUGGACCCCUCGGUCCCAGACCCCAUCAGCGACGGCUAUGUUCUUGGUAGGGACAUGGCAGACAUGAUGACCCACGUGUAUGGCUCGAGGCCCUCCGACACCGACGUGACAGCACUGCAGCGCCGCUUAGGCGCCACUGCCGACACGACCACUCUCGACUGGGAAGAGUUUCUCUACGUUGCCUAUCCGCACGGUCCAAAGACGGGUGAUCGACUGUGCGGCCUGACCUGCACGCCUCUCGCGAGCCCAAUCGAGGCCAUGCACUGCUGAGCCUGGCACCGUGGCUCUGGGCUCUUGUUUCUGCGUCUGAUGGCUGCUGCGGAGAUUACUCUGUUACGUGGGCGACUCGCAUCGUGAAGGUGCCGCCCCGCGUUUGACCGCGGAUUCUCUUCCCGCGCUCGUUUCCCGCGACUCGCUGCUUUACAGCCUUUCGCGAGCUCAGUGAACUCGCCAGUGCGUCGGCCCGCAUAUUAUGUUCGCAUGUGCAUACUCUACUAUGUAGCUCAUUGUUGCGUCGAGAGUAUAAGUAGAGCUGUCGAAGCGAGAGAGAAGGGGAGGGGCGCACAUCGAGGAGAUACACACAUACCCAUGCGGUACCCGAGACUUUGCGUACGAGUGGGUCGAUAUGUGGUCAUGUGCUGCGAAGGCCCCGAGCUUCUCUCGCUUACCGUGUUCUAUUCUCGCGCUUGAAUGUUGCACCACCG
rnacentral:misc_RNA from 1 species